GACGAACGCUGGCGGCGUGCCUAAUACAUGCAAGUAGAACGCACAGUUUAUACCGUAGCUUGCUACACCAUAGACUGUGAGUUGCGAACGGGUGAGUAACGCGUAGGUAACCUGCCUGGUAGCGGGGGAUAACUAUUGGAAACGAUAGCUAAUACCGCAUAAUAUUGAUUAUUGCAUGAUAAUUGAUUGAAAGAUGCUAUUGCAUCACUACCAGAUGGACCUGCGUUGUAUUAGCUAGUAGGUGAGGUAACGGCCCACCUAGGCGACGAUACAUAGCCGACCUGAGAGGGUGAUCGGCCACACUGGGACUGAGACACGGCCCAGACUCCUACGGGAGGCAGCAGUAGGGAAUCUUCGGCAAUGGACGAAAGUCUGACCGAGCAACGCCGCGUGAGUGAAGAAGGGUUUCGGAUCGUAAAGCUCUGUUGUAAGAGAAGAACGGGUGUGAGAGUGGAAAGUUCACACUGUGACGGUAUCUUACCAGAAAGGGACGGCUAACUACGUG
rnacentral:rRNA from 1 species